GACAGAGGAUGCAAGCGUUAUCCGGAAUGAUUGGGCGUAAAGCGUCUGUAGGUGGUUUAUUAAGUCUACUGUUAAAGAUCAGGGCUUAACCCUUAGCAGGCAAUAGAAACUAAUAAGCUAGAGUACGGUAGGGGCAGAGGGAAUUCCCGGUGUAGCGGUGAAAUGCGCAGAGAUCGGGAAGAACACCAACGGCGAAAGCACUCUGCUGGGCCGAAACUGACACUGAGAGACGAAAGCUAGGGGAGCAAAUGGG
rnacentral:rRNA from 1 species